rnacentral:rRNA from 1 species
CUAUAACGGUCCUAAGGUAGCGAAAUUCCUUGUCGGGUAAGUUCCGACCCGCACGAAAGGCGUAACGAUUUGGGCACUGUCUCAACGAGAGACUCGGUGAAAUCAUAGUACCGGUGAAGAUGCCGGUUACCCGCGACAGGACGGAAAGACCCCGUGGAGCUUUACUGUAGCCUGAUAUUGAAAUUCGGUACAGUUUGUACAGGAUAGGUAGGAGCCUUAGAAGCGUGAGCGCUAGCUUACGUGGAGGCAUUGGUGGGAUACUACCCUAAUUGUAUUGGAUUUCUAACCCGCAGCACUUAUCGUGCUGGGAGACAGUGUCAGGCGGGCAGUUUGACUGGGGCGGUCGCCUCCUAAAGAGUAACGGAGGCGCUCAAAGGUUCCCUCAGAAUGGUUGGAAAUCAUUCAUAGAGUGUAAAGGCAUAAGGGAGCUUGACUGCGAGACCUACAAGUCGAGCAGGGUCGAAAGACGGACUUAGUG